AACGAACGCUGGCGGCAGGCUUAACACAUGCAAGUCGAGCGCCCCGCAAGGGGAGCGGCAGACGGGUGAGUAACGCGUGGGAAUCUACCCAUCUCUACGGAAUAACGCAUGGAAACGUGUGCUAAUACCGUGUACGUCCUUCGGGAGAAAGAUUUAUCGGAGAUGGAUGAGCCCGCGUUGGAUUAGCUAGUUGGUGGGGUAAAGGCCUACCAAGGCGACGAUCCAUAGCUGGUCUGAGAGGAUGAUCAGCCACACUGGGACUGAGACACGGCCCAGACUCCUACGGGAGGCAGCAGUGGGGAAUAUUGGACAAUAGGCGCAAGCCUGAUCCAGCCAUGCCGCGUGAGUGAUGAAGGCCCUAGGGUUGUAAAGCUCUUUCACCGGUGAAGAUAAUGACGGUAACCGGAGAAGAAGCCCCGGCUAACUUCGUGCCAGCCGCCGCAGUAACAC
rnacentral:rRNA from 1 species